rnacentral:rRNA from 1 species
GACGAACGCUAGCGGCGUGCUUAACACAUGCAAGUCGAACGGAAAGGCCCUGCUUUUGUGGGGUGCUCGAGUGGCGAACGGGUGAGUAACACGUGAGUAACCUGCCCUUGACUUUGGGAUAACUUCAGGAAACUGGGGCUAAUACCGGAUAGGAGCUCCUGCUGCAUGGUGGGGGUUGGAAAGUUUCGGCGGUUGGGGAUGGACUCGCGGCUUAUCAGCUUGUUGGUGGGGUAGUGGCUUACCAAGGCUUUGACGGGUAGCCGGCCUGAGAGGGUGACCGGCCACAUUGGGACUGAGAUACGGCCCAGACUCCUACGGGAGGCAGCAGUGGGGAAUAUUGCACAAUGGGCGGAAGCCUGAUGCAGCAACGCCGCGUGCGGGAUGACGGCCUUCGGGUUGUAAACCGCUUUCGCCUGUGACGAAGCGUGAGUGACGGUAAUGGGUAAAGAAGCACCGGCUAACUACGUGCCAGCAGCCGCGGUGAUACGUAGGGUGCGAGCGUUGUCCGGAUUUAUUGGGCGUAAAGGGCUCGUAGGUGGUUGAUCGCGUCGGAAGUGUAAUCUUGGGGCUUAACCCUGAGCGUGCUUUCGAUACGGGUUGACUUGAGGAAGGUAGGGGAGAAUGGAAUUCCUGGUGGAGCGGUGGAAUGCGCAGAUAUCAGGAGGAACACCAGUGGCGAAGGCGGUUCUCUGGGCCUUUCCUGACGCUGAGGAGCGAAAGCGUGGGGAGCGAACAGGCUUAGAUACCCUGGUAGUCCACGCUGUAAACGGUGGGUACUAGGUGUGGGGUCCAUUCCACGGGUUCCGUGCCGUAGCUAACGCUUUAAGUACCCCGCCUGGGGAGUACGGCCGCAAGGCUAAAACUCAAAGGAAUUGACGGGGCCCCGCACAAGCGGCGGAGCAUGCGGAUUAAUUCGAUGCAACGCGUAGAACCUUACCUGGGUUUGACAUGGAUCGGGAGCGCUCAGAGAUGGGUGUGCCUCUUUUGGGGUCGGUUCACAGGUGGUGCAUGGCUGUCGUCAGCUCGUGUCGUGAGAUGUUGGGUUAAGUCCCGCAACGAGCGCAAUCCUUGUUCACUGUUGCCAGCACGUUAUGGUGGGGACUCAGUGGAGACCGCCGGGGUCAACUCGGAGGAAGGUGGGGAUGACGUCAAGUCAUCAUGCCCCUUAUGUCCAGGGCUUCACGCAUGCUACAAUGGCUGGUACAGAGAGUGGCGAGCCUGUGAGGGUGAGCGAAUCUCGGAAAGCCGGUCUCAGUUCGGAUUGGGGUCUGCAACUCGACCUCAUGAAGUCGGAGUCGCUAGUAAUCGCAGAUCAGCAACGCUGCGGUGAAUACGUUCCCGGG